rnacentral:rRNA from 1 species
UGGGGGAUAUUGCACAAUGGGCGCAAGCCUGAUGCAGCGACGCCGCGUGGGGGAUGAAGGCCUUCGGGUUGUAAACUUCUUUUGCUCUGAACAAGGCAUGCUAAUGGGUGUGUUGAGUGUAGGGGUUGAUUAGCGCCGGCUAACUACGUGCCAGCAGCCGCGGUAAUACGUAGGGCGCGAGCGUUGUCCGGAAUUAUUGGGCGUAAAGGGCUUGUAGGUGGCUGGUUGCGUCUGUCGUGAAAGCUCAUGGCUUAACUGUGGGUUUGCGGUGGGUACGGGCUGGCUUGAGUGCAGUAGGGGAGGCUGGAAUUCCUGGUGUAGCGGUGGAAUGCGCAGAUAUCAGGAGGAAUACCGGUGGCGAAGGCGGGUCUCUGGGCUGUUACUGACACUGAGGAGCGAAAGCAUGGGGAGCGAACAGG